rnacentral:rRNA from 1 species
CCUACGGGGGGCAGCAGUGGGGAAUAUUGCACAAUGGGCGCAAGCCUGAUGCAGCCAUGCCGCGUGUGUGAAGAAGGCCUUCGGGUUGUAAAGCACUUUCAGCGGGGAGGAAGGCGUUAAGGUUAAUAACCUUGUCGAUUGACGUUACCCGCAGAAGAAGCACCGGCUAACUCCGUGCCAGCAGCCGCGGUAAUACGGAGGGUGCAAGCGUUAAUCGGAAUUACUGGGCGUAAAGCGCACGCAGGCGGUCUGUCAAGUCGGAUGUGAAAUCCCCGGGCUCAACCUGGGAACUGCAUUCGAAACUGGCAGGCUAGAGUCUUGUAGAGGGGGGUAGAAUUCCAGGUGUAGCGGUGAAAUGCGUAGAGAUCUGGAGGAAUACCGGUGGCGAGGGCGGCCCCCUGGACAAAGACUGACGCUCAGGUGCGAAGGCGUGGGGAGCAAACAGGAUUAGAUACCCGAGUAGUC